UGGAGCCGACCUUGAAAUACCACCCUUUAAUGUUUGAUGUUCUAACGUGGACCCGUGAUCCGGGUUGCGGACAGUGUCUGGUGGGUAGUUUGACUGGGGCGGUCUCCUCCUAAAGAGUAACGGAGGAGCACGAAGGUUGGCUAAUCCUGGUCGGACAUCAGGAGGUUAGUGCAAUGGCAUAAGCCAGCUUGACUGCGAGCGUGACGGCGCGAGCAGGUGCGAAAGCAGGUCAUAGUGAUCCGGUGGUUCUGAAUGGAAGGGCCAUCGCUCAACGGAUAAAAGGUACUCCGGGGAUAACAGGCUGAUACCGCCCAAGAGUUCAUAUCGACGGCGGUGUUUGGCACCUCGAUGUCGGCUCAUCACAUCCUGGGGCUGAAGUAGGUCCCAAGGGUAUGGCUGUUCGCCAUUUAAAGUGGUACGCGAGCUGGGUUUAGAACGUCGUGAGACAGUUCGGUCCCUAUCUGCCGUGGGCGCUGGAGAACUGAGGGGGGCUGCUCCUAGUACGAGAGGACCGGAGUGGACGCAUCACUGGUGUUCGGGUUGUCAUGCCAAUGGCACUGCCCGGUAGCUAAAUGCGGAAGAGAUAAGUGCUGAAAGCAUCUAAGCACGAAACUUGCCCCGAGAUGAGUUCUCCCUGAGACUUUAAGUCUCCUGAAGGAACGUUGAAGACGACGACGUUGAUAGGCCGGGUGUGUAAGCGCAGCGAUGCGUUGAGCUAACCGGUACUAAUGAACCGUGAGGCUUAACCUU
rnacentral:rRNA from 1 species